UGUAACACCCGCGAAGAAUGCACGGAAGGAAAUAAUUUGGUUUCACAGCUACUUCUAUGUAUGUGUGGGGCCGGAUCAGAAGACUACGUUCGCUCAGGAGUCAGGAUUGCAGCAGGAGAAAGAACACAACAACAACUUCUGGAAAAGAAAACUCAACAGAAAGUAAACAACAAAAAUGCACAGUGUGAUGAACAACUUCCAGAUUCUAUGAAAUGGGAUGGCUCGCCAGUUUCUGCAACCGUGUGUCUCUCUCUCUCUCGAUGGACAGCAGAAACAAUUCUCCCAAACGUCAACAAAACUCCAGAUCCAGAAUCAGCAUUGCUCUCAGGAACAUCAAUAAACAAAGAAGAGAGAGAGAAAAGAAAAG
ensembl:lncRNA